GAGAUCUUAUAUCCUUAAGCUACACCUAAUAAGGCACACAGUCCCUACCUGCUGCCUGUGGAUCAAGAUGCAGAACUCUCAGCUUCUCUACCACCAUGUCUAUCUGCAUGCUGCUAUGUUUCCUGCCAUGAUGAUAAUGAACUAAACCUCUGAAACUCUGUUUUCCCUGAUUUACAUUUUUAUUGAAGAUGGAUUCUUCUUCCAAAUGAUUCAUCUCAUCACAGUUUCCCCUCCCUCCACUACUCCCAGCUCCCCCUCUAGCAUUCCCUCCCUUCCAGAUUCACCCCCCUCCAUUUCCUAUAAGAAAAUAGCAGGCCCCCAAGAGACAACAACCAGACAGGACAGAACAAAAUGCAGCAAGACAAGGCAACAGCCCUCACACAGAAGAUGGACAAGGCCACCCUACAUGAGAAAAAGAGUCCCAGGAACAGGAUUGCCUGAGCUCCAAGAGGACGGAUCUGAUGGAGACCUCUGAUUUAGAUUCUCUGUCUGCAUAAUUGGCUGUAGAUUUCCACAUCUAUUCAUCAUCUGCUGAUGAUGACUGGAUAUAAUAUGAAUUAUAGUAAUAAUUUCAUUGAUUUGUUUUAAGACCAGUUAUGUUUGGUUCAAUUCUAGAUUUCUGGGCUAUCCAGUCUCCAGUUCCUGGCCAUCCAAGCAGUGUUAAGCAGGGAUACCUCUUGUGGAGUGGGCCUCAAGUUAAAUCAGACAUUGGCCACUCCCACAAGUUCUGCAUCUUGUAGGCAGAGCAGAUUGUUGGUCAAAGGUUUUGUGGCUGGGUUUGUGUCCAUGUUUCUCUGUUGGUAUCCUGCAAAGAAGCUUCCCUUACCAAAGAGACUAGAAUGCAGAGGUGAGGACUCCAAGUAGGCAUCUGCU
rnacentral:sRNA from 1 species